rnacentral:rRNA from 1 species
GCAGGGAGGCGAGUACGCACUUAGCAAAAAGGCGGAUGACUGAGGGUGAGUGGUGGUGCUUGUCCACUUUGGGAGUGAAAAAGGGGUAGCAAGCAGAGAGAGCACACGCCGCCGCCGCCGUCGAGUAGAUCGUCUCUCCGGUGCUCUCCACUAAACUUCGGUAUUUAGGAUAAGAUAAGAAACAUUCGUCAGACAUCGUCUCAUGAUACUCAUAUUGAACCUCGUCUCGUGGAAGUUAGACUCGUACCGGUGCCCCGUUAUACGUUUUACGAGUUUACUGGGAGAACCAUGUCUUCACUAAUUAGAACUUCUUCUGUAUCGGUUCUUUGGGGACGAACUUCUCGGGUUUGGUUUUUUUCAUGUACUUACUACCACUAACGUAUACACUACUGAAACCCUCUUGUUCUUUCAUGAGGGUCUAAAAUCAAACCUAAAGGAACGAGAAAUGAUACCAGAAACCCUCUUGUACUUACUACCACUAACGUAUACACUACUAAUUGAACAUGAAAACUACUGUUGGUUCUCUUAAUGAUACCCAACAUAUUGAUAAUCCAAAAUCAUGAGAUACGUGACAACUUGAUACUCAACAUACGUGAACCAAUUUACAGUUUACUACUUGAUAAUAUACACCGUCUCAAGUUUAAUCAAAUAUGAUAACAAAAUCAU